AACACUUCGCAGCCUUUUAACUAAGAUCAAGUGUAGUAUCUGCUCUUAUCAGCUUAUCUGGUAUGUCCUCCAUCUGAGGGCAGUAAAUUAAAUGGAUUUUUGGAGCUGGGAGAUGGAAUAGCAGCUUGCUUCAUCCACUCUGCGAUUCAACUUGGUAUUCCAGUAAGGAAAAGAAAAAUGUGUGUGUCUUG